rnacentral:tRNA from 3 species
GCCCGAGUGGCGGAAUUGGUAGACGCGUGCGCUUCAGGUGCGUAUGCCCUUACGGGCGUGGAGGUUCAAGUCCUCUCUCGGGUA